AUUCCUGUUUCGCUUAAUUCUUAUCAAAGAAGCGGGGGAACCAGAUUCCGGGGUGAAUCGAUGAUCAGGCAGAAUAUACAGCUGCCCGAUCUCGUAGGGCUACUUUUUAGUCCGAAUCCGUCAGCUAACUUCGUAAGCGUAAAAAGGGAGGAAGA
rnacentral:sRNA from 2 species